rnacentral:rRNA from 1 species
GGGAACGUGCCUUUAGGUUCGGAAUAGCUCCUGGAAACGGGUGGUAAUGCCGAAUGUGCCCUUCGGGGGAAAGAUUUAUCGCCUUUAGAGCGGCCCGCGUCUGAUUAGCUAGUUGGUGAGGUAAUGGCUCACCAAGGCGACGAUCAGUAGCUGGUCUGAGAGGAUGAUCAGCCACACUGGGACUGAGACACGGCCCAGACUCCUACGGGAGGCAGCAGUGGGGAAUAUUGGACAAUGGGCGCAAGCCUGAUCCAGCCAUGCCGCGUGAGUGAUGAAGGCCUUAGGGUUGUAAAGCUCUUUCAGUGGGGAAGAUAAUGACGGUACCCACAGAAGAAGCCCCGGCUAACUUCGUGCCAGCAGCCGCGGUAAUACGAAGGGGGCUAGCGUUGUUCGGAUUUACUGGGCGUAAAGCGCACGUAGGCGGUUUGUUAAGUCAGGGGUGAAAUCCCACAGCUCAACUGUGGAACUGCCUUUGAUACUGGCAAGCUAGAGUCCGGAAGAGGUAAGUGGAACUCCUAGU